rnacentral:rRNA from 1 species
CAAGGAAUAUUGCGCAAUGGGCGAAAGCCUGACGCAGCGACGCCGCGUGAGGGAAGAAGGCCUUCGGGUCGUAGACCUCUUUCUUGGGGAAGAAUAAUGACGGUACCCAGGGAAUAAGUCACGGCUAACUACGUGCCAGCAGCCGCGGUAAUACGUAGGCGGCGAGCAUUAUCCGGAUUUAUUGGGCGUAAAGCGGGUGUAGGUGGUUUUUCAAGUCGGAUGUGAAAUUUCUCGGCUUAACUGGGAAGGGUCAUUCGAUACUGUUAGACUAGAGGGCAGCAGAGGGAGAUGGAAUUCCCGGUGUAGUGGUGAAAUGCGUAGAUAUCGGGAGGAACACCAGUGGCGAAAGCGGUCUCCUGGGCUGUUCCUGACACUGAGGCCCAAAAGCGUGGGUAGCAAACAG